rnacentral:rRNA from 1 species
GUUGAACGCUGGCGGCAGGCUUAACACAUGCAAGUCAAACGAGUGGCGGACGGGUGAGUAAUGCUUGGGAAACUAGCUUAUGGAGGGGGAUAAAUAAGGGAAACUGUAGCUAAUACCGCUUACCAUAGGAUGAGCCCAAGUGGGAUUAGGUAGUUGGUGAGGUAAAGGUGCACCAAGGCGACGAUCUCUAGCUUGUAUGAGAGGUGGACCAGCCACACGGGGCCUGAGACACGGCCCAGACUCCUACGGGAGGCAGCAGUGGGGAAUAUUGCGAAAUGGGUGAAAUCUGACGCAGCCAUGCCGCGUGAAUGAAGAAGGCCUUCGGGUCGUAAAGUUCUUUCGGUAGAGAGGCGUUAACUACAGAAGAAGCACCGGCUAACUCCGUGCCAGCAGCCGCGGUAAUUC